rnacentral:rRNA from 1 species
UACAGAGGUCUCAAGCGUUGUUCGGAUUCAUUGGGCGUAAAGGGUGCGAAGGUGGCGGGGUUAGUCAGGUGUGAAAUCUCGGAGCUCAACUCCGAAACUGCACUUGAUACUGCCUUGCUUGAGUACUGGAGAGGAGAUUGGAAUUUACGGUGUAGCAGUGAAAUGCGUAGAUAUCGUAAGGAAGACCAGUGGCGAAGGCGAAUCUCUGGACAGUUACUGACACUGAGGCACGAAGGCCAGGGGAGCAAACGGG